CAGCCGCCGCGGGAAUACAGAGGGUGCGAGCGUUAAUCGGAUUUACUGGGCGUAAAGCGUGCGUAGGCGGCUUCUUAAGUCGGAUGUGAAAUCCCUGAGCUUAACUUAGGAAUUGCAUUCGAUACUGGGAAGCUAGAGUAUGGGAGAGGAUGGUAGAAUUCCACGUGUAGCAGUGAAAUGCGUAGAUAUGUGGAGGAAUACCGAUGGCGAAGGCAGCCCCCUGGGAUAACACUGACGCUCAUGCACGAAAGCGUGGGGAGCAAACAGGAUUAGAGACCCCGGUAGUCCCUGUCUCUUAUAC
rnacentral:rRNA from 1 species